rnacentral:tRNA from 1 species
UCCCCAGUGGCUCAGAUGGUAAAGCAUCCACCUACAAUGUGGGAGACCUGGGUUCAAUCCCUGGGUCGGGAA